UUUGAAAUUAGAACUCUUUUGUAACAUUAUAAAUAUCUUCACUGUCAUUUUUAAUUAAUUUUAUGCUUUUUUUUUUUUUUUGGAGGGAUAAGUGAAAAUUAUUUUCUGUGAUUUAUCUCUCACUAUGUUUUUUCCCCCAUAGACGACUUCGACCAGUGUUUCUGCUCCCUUUCAGAUGAGGAGGUUGAGGAUGAUGUUCAGGUAUACUUACAAGAAGAAUGGAAGGUCAGAAUGGGCUCUGAACAGAGUUUUGGAAAUGGAGUGAUGAAUGGAGUCCCCUCGUCCCACAACAGGAUAACUAAACAGACUGUGGCAUCUACCUUCUGCUUUAUGUGGAGAACUUCAUCAAGGAACCAUCACAAACUUUCAUUUCCAACCUGAACAGAGGACAGUGAAGAAGAAGAGGAAGAGGAGGCAAAUCAAACAACUCAUUCUCAGGCUUCACAGACAGCAAAGGGUUUUAAAAUAGUUUUUUACUUCCUAUGGAUCUCUCAAUGUGACUACUACCUCAACCCCUUCCUAGAGGGUUUUUCAUGGAAGGAAAUUAAAUUUGCAUGUGUGAAAAAUGAAAUGUCAUUUGCUUUGAAAAUUGAUCAUUUGUUCUUGAAAUCCAAUUGAAAAUGUAGCCAUAAAUAAAAUCUAUCAAAAUAAAA